rnacentral:lncRNA from 1 species
UGUAUGUUCAUUACACAUAUCCCUUUUUCACAUCAAGGUUUUAAAAAAUAUUGAACUUCACAAAGAAAAUAGUUGUACAAAUUUCUGACAAUAUGCUAGGUUUCCUUUGCAGUUUUGGUAAACUUUUUUAAAACUACAAAUAUGUAGUAAAAAUCUAUGUGUAAAAUGACUCUCUUUGAUGCUGAUAAGACCCUUUCAAGAUAAUGUUGAAGCAGUAACAUUUAGUGCAAAAU